rnacentral:rRNA from 1 species
CCGACGGGCGGCUGCAGGGAGGAAUAUUGGGCAAUGGGCGCGAGCCUGAACCAGCCAAGUAGCGUGAAGGAUGACUGCCCUACGGGUUGUAAACUUCUUUUUUAAAGGAAUAAAGUGAGGCACGUGUGCCUGUUUGUGUGUACUUUAUGAAUAAGCAUCGGCUAACGCCGUUCCAGCAGCCGCGGUAAUACGGAGGAUUCGAGCGUUAUCCGGGUUUAUUGGGUGUAAAGGGAGCGGAGAUGGGUUGUUAAGUCAGUUGUGAAAGUUUGGGGCUCAACCGUAAGAUUGCAUUUGAAACUGGCAGCCUUGAGUACAGUUGAGGUAGGCGGAAUUCGUGGUGUAGCGGUGAAAUGCUUAGAUAUAACGAAGAACUCCGAUUGCGAAGGCAGCUUACUAAACAGCAACUGACAUUGAUGCUCGAAAGUGUGGGUAUCAAACAGGAUUAGAUACCCCUGUAGUC